rnacentral:rRNA from 1 species
AAGCGGUGGAGCCAUGUGGUUUUAAUUCGAAGCAACGCGAAGAACCUUACCAAAUCUUGACAUCCUUUGACCGCUCUAGAGAUAGAGUCUUCCCCUUCGGGGGACAAAGUGACAGGUGGUGCAUGGUUGUCGUCAGCUCGUGUCGUGAGAUGUUGGGUUAAGUCCCGCAACGAGCGCAACCCUUAAGCUUAGUUGCCAUCAUUAAGUUGGGCACUCUAAGUUGACUGCCGGUGACAAACCGGAGGAAGGUGGGGAUGACGUCAAAUCAUCAUGCCCCUUAUGAUUUGGGCUACACACGUGCUACAAUGGACAAUACAAAGGGCAGCUAAACCGCGAGGUCAAGCAAAUCCCAUAAAGUUGUUCUCAGUUCGGAUUGUAGUCUGCAACUCGACUACAUGAAGCUGGAAUCGCUAGUAAUCGUAGAUCAGCAUGCUACGGUGAAUACGUUCCCGGGUCUUGUACACACCGCCCGUCACACCACGAGAGUUUGUAACACCCGAAGCCGGUGGAGUAACCAUUUANGGAGAUACCCGUUUCAGGNAUNACNCUCGAAUGGG